rnacentral:rRNA from 1 species
UACGUAGGGACCGAGCGUUGUCCGGAAUCAUUGGGCGUAAAGAGAGUGUAGGCGGCCCCUUAAGUCCUGCGUGAAAUCCUGCGGCUCAACCGCAGACGGUCGUGGGAAACUGGAGGGCUAGAGUGCGGGAGAGGAGAGUGGAAUUCCCGGUGUAGCGGUGAAAUGCGCAGAUAUCGGGAAGAACACCCGUGGCGAAGGCGGCUCUCUGGAACGCAACUGACGCUGAGACGCGAAAGCGUGGGGAGCAAACAGG